rnacentral:rRNA from 1 species
GACGAACGCUGGCGGCGUGCUUAACACAUGCAAGUCGAACGGAAAGGCCUCUUUCGGGGGGUACUCGAGUGGCGAACGGGUGAGUAACACGUGAGUAACCUGCCCUUGACUUUGGGAUAACUUCAGAAAACUGGGGCUCAUACCGGAUAGGAGCUCCUGCUGCAUGGUGGGGGGUGGAAAGUUUUGGCGGUUGGGGAUGGACUCGCGGCUUAUCUGCUUGUUUGUGGGGUAUUGUCGUACCCAGGCUUUGACGGGUAUCCGGCCUGAGAGGGUGACCGGGCACAUUGGGAAUGAGAUAAGGCCCAGACUCCUAAGGGAGGCAGCAGUGGGGAAUAUUGGACAAUGGGUGGAAGCCUGAUGCAGCAACGCCGUGUGCGGGAUGAAGGCCUUCGGGUUGUAAACCGCUUUCGCUCAGGACGGAGCUUUGUGUGACGGUAGUGGGUAAAGAAGCACCGGCUAACUACGUG